rnacentral:lncRNA from 1 species
UUUAAAGACUGCUAAUGGGUUUUCAAAGUUGUUUUCCUUUUUGUUUCAGCUAAGGCUCUUUGGAAAACUUACAAGGACUAAAUUCUAUGCUCAAGGAAUGUGCCCACCGACUCUGUGUGAACAUGCGACUCUGACCUUGAACUGAAAGUGCUCAGGAAUGUGUCUGCCUGGACAUGUGACAGUGCAUCUUCCCUCUGUGAAUAUGUGUAAGUCUCCCCACUAAAAUCCCGGGCUGUCUUUGUGUGGAGAGAACACUGCUUUGCAAAUUAACUCCAGUGUGCGUCUUGCUUGAGACAAGUAAUAAACCUCUCUGCUGCUGCAUCUCCUGGACCAGCCAAGCUGUUUUGUGCUUACCCAGCUGGGCUCACAGCAUCCAGCCAUGGAGCUGCUACUGAGCUUGGCUUCCUACAUUUAUUGGAUUCUCCUGCUGUCACGCAAACUCCCUUGACCCACAGAGCCGAGCGUCAGCAGGACCCGGGUGAAGGUUAACCCGUCUCCUCAAAGUCCCUUCCAUUCCCUGCUCACCUGCCCCUGGGACCAACGAGUUAUAAGUAAAACCUUACUAUUUAUCAUUUAUGAGACUGGAAACGUUACACAAAUGGAUUCUAGAAAUAAAUUGUCAGCGACUGGACAACAUAUUUU